rnacentral:rRNA from 1 species
GACGAACGCUGGCGGCGUGCUUAACACAUGCAAGUCGAACGGAAAGGCCUCUCUUGGGGGGUACUCGAGUGGCGAACGGGUGAGUAACACGUGAGUAACCUGCUCGUGGCGUUGGGAUAACUUCAGGAAACUGGGGCUAAUACCGGAUAGGAGCUCCUGCUGCAUGGUGGGGGCUGGAAAGUUUCAGCGGUUGGGGGUGGACUCGCGGCUUAUCAGCGUGGUGGUGGGGUAGUGGUUCACCAAGGCCUUGACGGGUAGCCGGACUGAGAGGGUGACCGGCCGCACUGAGUCUGAGAGGCGGCCCAGGCGCCUACGGGAGGCAGAUGUGGGGAAGAUUGCACCAUGGGUGGAGGCCGGAUGCAGCAACGCCGUGUACGGGAUAACGGCCUUCGGGUUGUAGACCGCUUUCGCUCAUGACGAAGCUUUGUGUGACGGUAGUGAGUAAAGAAGCACCGGCUAACUACGUG